rnacentral:ncRNA from 1 species
CGUGGCGAUACGGAAUCAGAAAGAAGUCAGCGGCAAACAUCUGCCCCAAUGGACAGAAACUUGAUAUAAAGUUUCCAAAAGAGUCAUAGUCCAAUAACUACUUGGAACUCAUAUCGUAAAUAAAGUGGGGAUAAGAUGGA